GUCCGUUAGGGUUAGUGUAUUAGUAUUAGACCCAUACCAAGGACUAGUCCACGUCUGGCACCGUGUCCCAAGGGUUGCAGACCGCUGAUUUUACAAACAGAAACAACGAGUAGGGGACAUCCAAAAUGUCAAAAAGUGACGCAGAGGAGUCUUUAACACCCCCCCCCCUUUUUUUUUUACAAAGGAGAGCAGGUGGUGUCCAGGAGUCUGGAGCAAAAACUGUGCAGCAUUUUCUAUUAAAGCUGUGUUCUGCUCAUUUCCUGUUCACCUGCAGAAGUGAGCACACUCAGCAUCAACAGACUUACAACAAAACAGCAUCUUUAAGUGUUUAGUUUGUUAAAAACGUAAAAACAAGCAGACGUGAACAAAAAAUUAAGGAUGCAAACGGAGGCAAAGAAAGACGAUGACCUGCAAGAGGAAAGUGAAAGCCAAAGCGGCGGCGGAGAUGGAUGAGAUGCAGGUGGGUCCAUCAGGAACAGAACCCAGGUGUGAACGUGACGCACAAACAGAAGGACUGGGGAGAAGUAACCAGGAAGUGAGAGCCUCCAUGAGAUAAAGGACUCAUAAGGAAGACAGGUUUCUGAAUCAGAAUCUCAAAAGAGAAUGAGAGAAAACACGGACAGAACAGAAGGCCAGGGGUCAGGAUUACUUUGUUUUUAAAAAGGUAAAUUUGGUUGGCGGUGAGUCAACCUCUUGAGGCAGAAACAGGAAGAACCGGCAGAAACAAGAACAUCAUGGAACUGAUAGAAUGGAAAUGUGGAAAAUAAAGACAGAAAUGACUAAGAGCUGGGUAAGAGUUUGUAUCCCUUUAAAAAGAAACAACAAAAUGUGUUUUAAUCUUAAAAAAGGGUAAAUAAAAAAUA